GACCUGGGUAUUUGUCAUUCUGGAGGCAAAAAGGAGGGAGAAAGCUGAGAUACCCUCCACAAUGAACCUCAGCAGGGGAAGAACCCCAGGAGCAGAGUGGCUAAUGGUAGAAAGCUGAGUUCCUGGGAACUUUGACAAAGAGAAAAGUAUGAGACAAGUUGGUCUGAGCCUAAGAUGGAGACCCAGAGCUGGGCUGAGUUCAGCAAGGGCCAUAUGCAGCUUACAACAAGAACCAACCUAAAGAGACAAGCUAACAUUCUUUCUUCCCCAUCAGCAUGAAGAGUCAUCACUUUUAUUAUCCAAGGACGCUCUACUCUCCUCAUCUUCUGGUAUUCAGCAAAAUCCCAGGAGGAUACAAGCAUCUCCCCCUAACUUCCCAUCAUGCCUGACACCAGCUGAAGUCUUUUGCCCUGGGAUGACUUCCCUCAAACUCUAAGACAAUUCUCUUCUGGUCCCUGCUUUUCCUUCCGUCUUUCCUUUUGGAAAAAGAUACUUUGGAGGAGUAUCUGCUUAAGAAAGAAAACCACCUGGUUUUCAGGAAUGGAGAUGUUCUCUUGUGGAUCAUCCAUUGACACUGUGAUGCCACCAGAAACCAGCUGGAGAAAGCAUGGGGUUCCAGAAGGAGUAAGACAGCGUGCCCAUGACAGGGCCCUGAAAGAAGAUGAACUGAGGAAAGACUGGGGCCUCUUAAGCAUCUGUGAACCUGUCAAGAAAAAAAAAAAAGUCACCCAAGAGAUAAGGAAAAUACUCCAAAUCAUUCCCAGACUGAAUAUUUAACAAAAUUGGGUUUUGAUUUUUUUUAAUAAGGCAUCAGUGGCUCUUUUUAAGCAACAAAGAGACUGUUUUAUGCAAAUUUCCCCUCAGGGCUUUCAUUAAGAUGUUAACAUCUUUCUUGUCACAAUAUCUACUUUAUUACAAUGAGUCAUAGUGCUUCUCUAUUCUCUUGCUGAGACAUC